GCAGCUGAAAGUUUAAACAUGAACCACUUGCUAUUAGUUACGAUAUAAUGCAUAAUUCAAUAAAAUGUAAAAGAGAAUAAUUACGAUGCAUAAUUAAAAAGGGAAUAAAAAAAACUGAGGUAAACGAUACAUAUGUGAUUGCGGAAAAUUCAUCAUAUUGUUUAAUUAAUAUUUGUUUUUACUCAAUGUCUGAAAAUAAAUAAUUAUAUUCAUUAGAGAAAUGACAUAGUAGUUAUAAAUAUUAAUGAUAACUGUGGCAGACGUUCUGUAUUCAUGAUUAAUAUUACAAUUAUGGCAACUACAGGGAAAUACAAAUCUGUAUCAAAUAGUGAGAAUAAACUUAUAUAAAAAC